CUUCAGCCGCUGGCAGUAUCUGAAUAUAUAUUGUCACUGACCUGAACAACAUUUCUCCAUGUAGGAGACACAAACGUGAGUUUGGAAGAGUUCGCCAGGACCACCGAGAACAUUGAGGAAUGAAUUGAGAUAACCCCAUUGUAGAGAGAGUGGCACUACACCAUUGAAGUUGAUCUCGUAAAUGAUUCUGAAUGAUUCCGUUGCAAGUGUAUGAUUUCAAUAAAUCAUCAUAACCAUCAA